rnacentral:rRNA from 1 species
AUUAAAGUUGCUGCGGUUAAAAAGCUCGUAGUUGGAUUACGAAGUGGUGUUUAAAUGUCAUUUUGGUUUGUUUGUCUUUCGGGGCAUUCAGGUCAACUUGGCUUUUACUCACUGUUGUCAUUGUCUUUGCCCAAGGUAUAUGCCUUGUGUGCAUGGCAUUGACCUUCCAUUUUAUGGUAAUGUUGUAUCUUUCGGGGUACAUUCAUUCCAUAUAGUUUACUUUGAAAAAAUUAGGGUGUUUAAAGCAGGCGAAAAGGCUUCGGAAUAUAUUAGCAUGGGAUAAUAGAAUACGAUCUAGGUCGUAAUUUGUUGGUUUCUACGGCUUAGGUAAUGAUUGACAGGGAUAGUUGGGGUCGCUCGUAUUGAGUUGUCAGAGGUGAAAUUCUAGGAUUAACUCAAGACGAACUAAUGCGAAAGCAUUCGGCAAGGAUGUUUUCAUUAAUCAAGAACGAAAGUUGGGGGAUCGAAGAUGAUCAGAUACCGUCGUAGUCUCAACUGUAAACUAUGUCGACCGAGGAUCCGGUAGCGUUACAUGGAUGACCUUCCGGGCACUCUGUGAGAAAUCAUAAGUAUUUGGAUUUCGGGGGGAGUGUGGUCGCAAGGCUGAAACUUAAAGGGAUUGACGGAAGGGCACCACCAGGAGUGGAAUCUGCGGCUUAAUUUGACCCAACACGGGAAAACUUACCAGGUCCGGACACAGUGAGGAUUGACAGAUUGAGAGCUCUUUCUUGAUUUUGUGGGUGGUGGUGCAUGGCCGUUUUUAGUUGGUGGAGUGAUUUGUCUGGUUAAUUCCGUUAACGAACGAGACCUUAACCUAUUAAAUAGCUGCGCGAACCCAGGUUCUUUAACCAUUCUCUCCUUCGGGGGGGCGUGGUAUCAUUAUUUUGCUUUUCACUUUCGGGUGGGAGGUAGGGUAGUGAUAGGGCCUGAGAUGAGCUGGUGAUUUGGCUUCUUAGAGGGACUACUUGCAUCCUUAGCAAGGGGAGGUUUGAGGCAAAAACAGGUCUGUGAUGCCCUUCGAUGUUCUGGGCUGCACGCGCGUUACACUGGCGCAUGCAAAGAGUUUAAAAUUCCUGUCCCGAUGGGGUUGGGAAAUCUUUUUAAAGUGCGUCGUGAUGGGGAUAGAGCAUUGAAAUUAUUGCUCUUGAACGAGGAAUUCCUAGUAAUUGCAGGUCAUCAACCUGCAAUGAUUACGUCCCUGCCCUUUGUACACACCGCCCGUCGCUCCUACCGAUGGUUGAACCGAUGAGGACUCGGGAUGAUCUUAUUAGAUCGGUCGGUCGAAAGAUCGAUAGACUAUUAGGUCAGAACUUGUUCAAAUCUUUUUAA